rnacentral:rRNA from 1 species
UACGAAGGGGGCUAGCGUUGCUCGGAAUCACUGGGCGUAAAGGGUGCGUAGGCGGGUCUUAAGUCAGGGGUGAAAUCUGGAGCUCAACUCCAGAACUGCCUUUGAUACUGAGGAUCUUGAGUUCGGGAGAGGUGAGUGGAACUGCGAGUGUAGAGGUGAAAUUCGUAGAUAUUCGCAAGAACACCAGUGGCGAAGGCGGCUCACUGGCCCGAUACUGACGCUGAUGCACGAAAGCGUGGGGAGCAAACAGG